rnacentral:rRNA from 1 species
AGAGUUUGAUCCUGGCUCAGAACGAACGCUGGCGGCAGGCCUAACACAUGCAAGUCGAGCGCGCCUUCGGGCGAGCGGCGGACGGGUUAGUAACGCGUGGGAACGUGCCCAGAUCUACGGAAUAGCCACUGGAAACGGUGAGUAAUACCGUAUACGCCCUUCGGGGGAAAGAUUUAUCGGAUUUGGAUCGGCCCGCGUUAGAUUAGGUAGUUGGUGGGGUAACGGCCUACCAAGCCUACGAUCUAUAGCUGGUUUUAGAGGAUGAUCAGCAACACUGGGACUGAGACACGGCCCAGACUCCUACGGGAGGCAGCAGUGGGGAAUCUUGGACAAUGGGGGCAACCCUGAUCCAGCCAUGCCGCGUGAGUGAAGAAGGCCCUAGGGUCGUAAAACUCUUUCGCCUGUGAUGAUAAUGACAGUAGCAGGUAAAGAAACCCCGGCUAACUCCGUGCCAGCAGCCGCGGUAAUACGGAGGGGGUUAGCGUUGUUCGGAAUUACUGGGCGUAAAGCGCACGUAGGCGGAUUAGAAAGUUAGAGGUGAAAUCCCGGGGCUCAACCCCGGAACUGCCUUUAAAACUACUAGUCUAGAGUUCGAGAGAGGUGAGUGGAAUUCCGAGUGUAGAGGUGAAAUUCGUAGAUAUUCGGAGGAACACCAGUGGCGAAGCGGCUCACUGGCUCGAUACUGACGCUGAGUGCGAAAGUGUGGGGAGCAAACAUGAUUAGAUACCCUGGUAGUCCACACCGUAACGAUGAUGC